rnacentral:lncRNA from 1 species
CUAUUUUUUGCCCGGUGGGGGAGCGCGGCCCCUCGCGGAGCACAGAGGUUUCAAGAUGCACCUGUGAUGUAGCUUGUGUGUGAGCUUUGUCCCUGUGACACGAAUACCUGACCAGAAUAACUUGGAGGAGGGACAGUUUACUUGGGGCUCACGGUUCACAUCAUGGCCAAGGGGCGUGGGGAGGAGUGGGCCCCAACUGUGGCAGGAGGAAGAAGAGGGAAGGGGCCAAAGGGCAGCUGUGUCCCUCCAGGGACCACCUCCUGGCCACGCCCGCCUGCUGACAGUGACCACCAGACAGUCCCGUCACACUGGUGGGCCGACCAGGUCCCAGCCCGGCCAUUUCCCCUCCUAACACCCUGCAUGGACGCAGGAGCGUGCUGCGGCCGGAGCCGUCUGCCCACUUUCCGAGGUUGGAGCGUGACCUCCCGGGGAGCGGUCAGGGCUGGGGAUGGUGCUGAGUUGGGGCAGUACACAGCAGGGGCCAUCAGUCAGGGAUGGCAUCAGUGUCAGUGAAGGCCUCGAGGGGCUACAGGUGGGGAGUCGGUGCCUCGGGACACCUUCUGGCCUGCGGGGACCCAGCAAGAGGCCGGCUCUGAGGCAGAGCCAGGCUCCUGGACAGGGCUGCUGCCCAGUUCUCCCCACAGUGCUGGGGAGUGGGCUGAGGUCAGCUGAAGGCAUUUGUCACAGCAGCAGGAAGGACGAAGACGGCAGUGGUCAGCUGCUCUGGUUGGUCGCGACGUGGUGCUGGACCCGCAGGGUGGGCUCAUCAGCCCGUUCCUGUUGCCUCCAGCUCCAGGCCAUCAGGAGUCAAGUCACGGGACACCGGGGGGAAGCCUUUGCACAGCACCACCGCUGCGGUGGGGUCACCUGUCCUUUGUCCCGGCCCUGGCUGGGUCCCUUCCUGUGCCCCGCCCUGGCCCCCUGAAGGGUCGCGCUGUCCUCCUAGAGCUUGUGAAUAUGGCAUUCUGCAGGUGACCUGGGUUAUGGACCUGAGGGCAGGCAUCGUCCUGGGUACCUGGCUGUGCCCCGUCUGGUCACACGAGCUGGAGGGAGACGCCGCGGGAGGCAGCCGGGUGUCCCUGUGUCCUCAUCACCCCUCAUCACCCCAUGCGCUCAGUCUUCUUUGGAAUUCUAAUUCUCACGGAUGGUUAGUUCUCAGUGUUCGAAGUCCUCGCUGGGCACGGGGUGCUCCCCGCGUCCCCACAGGCUGACGGGAUCCUCAUCCCUCCUCUUUGGUGACGUUCGAUCCUUUCGUCCCCUUAUUGUUGAGCCGAGUUCACAGCUGCCACCUGCCCGGCCUUUUCUAUUUGCCUCAAUUGUCCUUUGCCGUCUGCCUUCUGCGAGGGGACGAGGGGACGAGGGGACGAGGGGACGAGGGACGCCAGCACAGCACGCUCCCCGUUGUUGGCCACCCAGGGUCCCUCCUCCCGGGACUUGCUGGUUCUCUCACCGCCUGCCCUGGAGUGGCUGCCCCUGCUUCAGGUGUGACACCCUCCAGGACGGACACUGGGUCUCCUGGAGCCUCGCGUUGUCCCUGAGUCCCAGGACUUCCGUCCCGCGCCGGCCGUGGUCCGCUGGGUGUGCCCGGAGCUCCGCCACGGCCUCCUGCUCGGCGUCUGCUGAGCUUCUCAGAUCUCGGGUGAGGUUCUCCCUGGUCCCGUUUGGACACUCCCAGAUAUUUCUUCAGGUUUUCCCGUCCCCACCCCACAGGACUUCGAUGGCAGAACUUCAAGCCGCGGCCUCGGCAGCACAGCGGCGCCUGCUCAGGGUUUCCGCCCCUGACCCCUGCGUUUCGUCGUGGUGGCGUCUCUUGCGUCUUCAGGCUCACCCGCAUUUCACCUGCCUUCCCAAGAGGGUGACUGGGCUUGUGUCCUGAGUAAGGACAGGGCUCGGUCAAGGGCCUGCUCCCUGCUCUUCAUUGAGCCCCGCCGUGUACUGCCCUAUGCAAAGUGGCCCAGCUGUGUCCAUGACUCCAGGGGGUCCCUGUGGAGCAAACUCUGCAUCACAUGCAGCUGGGGUCAUUGGAACUGGAGGGUACAGACCUCUGCAGGGGUCUGAACCCUUUGCCUUAUGUAAAUGAACUGUGGCUGGUGCUCGGUCUCCUCAUGGCAACCGAGCCCCCAACCCUCCUCACAACCUGUUCUGGGUGAUUAUUGUACUCAUUUUGCAGAUGGGGAAACUGAGGCACAGAGAGGUUGAGUCACCUGGUCACGGGCACUCAGUGAGAAGCACCAGAGCCUAGAUUUGAACCUGGUGGUCUAAAUCUGGAGCCCCAGUUCUCGUGCACCCCAUUGUUUGGCUCUGGAACCCCCUUUACACAAGGGGACAUGAGCACAGAUAGGGACAGUCACCACCCAAGGUGACAGGGCAAGCGGUGGUGGAGGGGCACUGGCUGUAGCAGCAGCCUCUGGCCGUGCCUGGGAGGGGCCGGCCUGGGUGUCUGGGGCUCACCUCGCUGGCCGGGGACUUCCUGAGGACAGAGACGCAGGGCUGCGGUGCCCAGCUGGUGUGGGACAUGCAGUGGGAUCCCUCAUGGUGGCCGUCAGGGGCCUUGGCCUCACCAUUCACCCAGCAAGGUCGGCUCCCGAGUCUGGGGGCUCGUCUGUCACGGGGGCCACACCACGCCCUCCAGGACCAGCGUGGUCACACAGGUGAGGCACGUGGUUAGGGGCUGAGGCCGCAAUGAACACAGAGACGGCAGUCACGCCUGCUGGCGCCCCACCCUGGGUCUGCUCUGCCCCGGGUGACCCAGUCUCCUUCCUGGGAUGGCCGGGAGGCUCUGAUGGACGGUGCCUUCGUAGACUCCUGAGCAGGAAGAAAACAAAGCCAAGGACACUCCCUGCUCUGAGGUCUCGACCAUUUCCUCUUUCACAGGUGGAGAGCAGCACAUCAAAACCAGGAGCCCAGCCGCAAGGUUGCUGUGGGUCCAGGAAACUCCACCCAGGCCGCAGAGCUGAGCUGGGUGGCAGGAGGGCUGCGGAGGGCCGCUGGUGCCGCUGGGGCCUGCGCCAAGCACCACACGCACAGCGCCCUUUCCCGGGGGCUCUGGCUGCUGCCAUGGGACCCUGCAGUGCCCAGAGUGCCCCAGAGUGCCCAUGAUGUCCCAGAGUGCCCCAGAGUGCCCAUGAUGUCCCAGAGUGCCCCACAGUGCCCAUGAUGUCCCAGAGUGUCCCACAGUGCCCACAGUGCCUACAGUGCCCCAGAGUGCCCAUGAUGUCCCAGAGUGCCCCACAGUGCCCACAGUGCCUACAGUGCCCCAGAGUGCCCAUGAUGUCCCAAAGUGUCCCAGAGUGCCCACAGCGCCCAGAGUGCCCAUGAUGUCCCAGAGUGUCCCAGAGUGCCCACAGUGCCUACAGUGCCCCAGAGUGCCCAUGAUGUCCCAGAGUGCCCCAGAGUGCCCAUGAUGUCCCAGAGUGUCCCAGAGUGCCCCACAGUGCCCAGAGUGCCCAGAGUGCCCCAGAGUGUCCAUGAUGUCCCAGAGUGCCCAGAGUACCCACUGUGCCUACUGUGCCCAGAGUGCCCCAGAGUGUCCAUGAUGUCCCAGAGUGCCCCAGAGUGCCCACAGUGCCCCAGAGUGUCCAUGAUGUCCCCAAGUGUCCCAGAGUGCCCUCAGUGCUCAGAGUGCCCCAGAGUGCCCAUGAUGUCCCAGAGUGCCCCAGAGUGCCCACAGUGCCCCAGAGUGUCCAUGAUGUCCCAGAGUGCCCACUAUGCCCACUGUGCCCUGUGGCCGGGUUUGGCCCUGGGCCCCUGCAGAGCACCCUGGACCUGCGCUGUCCCACUACUUCUGAUGUGGCCAUGAUGCCGGGCUGCAGGGAGCUUCCCUGGCACAGUGGUGGUCCGAGCCUGGUUCUGGGCACAGGGUCACGGCUGGCGCUGCAGAGGUGCCCAGGGAAGCUGCAGCCGAGCUUGCCAGGGCCCAGGGGAGUGUGGUGACUGUGCCCAGAGCCCCCAGGAGCAGAGCCAAGCAGGGCGCACGCGGGUGUGGGAGCAGGUGUCUGUGACGUGCCCCCCCCCCAGCUCGUCUCCACCCUGAUGCUGCACAGAGUCCCCGAGGGAAUCCUGUCACUGUCAGUGAGACCCACAGGGGGCCUGGAGGGGUGUUAUGUCAUCUCUACUGAAUGGAAUCGACCCUGCCAAUCUGAUGACAGAAAUGACACUGUGUGGCUUUCUCUUCCUUAAACCUGCAGAACCCA